CGUGGCGUCGGGCUAGUCAAUUCUGUGAUCGUGUCCUGACCUUUGCCUUGGAGGGCUUUGCGAUGCCGGCUGUACAGAGCCCAGGAUGCGGCGGGAGUAGACACAGAGUCCUUGCCCACUGGCUGAGAUGGCUUGGAACUCCCCUCUCCUUCUCUGGACUUGGUUUGGAGCCGGUCAGCCUCUGCUGGGUGCCGUGACGAGUGCAGAGGAAGGUGGGACAAUGAGUGGCCCGGAGAGACUUUCAGCCCAGACUUCCUAUCCAUGAAGAGCCUCAAUUUUGUACUUUUAUUUCCAAUG